CUGAGCUGAUACCCCAAAUGCCUUAUCCAAACGCAGGUCCUUUCUUGUCAGUGAAGAGAGAGACCAGAGUAUCAGACCAUGGUCUAACAUUGUAACUCACUCUCUAUCCUCAGAAAUUCUCUCUAAAACACGAAGAAGAUGUUAUCCAUGGCAAUUCAAUCUGGCGUUUUCACACAGUCCCCAUUUCCUUGUCAGACCCUCUCUUGCAAGACAAUUAAAGCCAGCAUUUUCAUCAAUCCCAAACCCAAUCUGUUACACUCUUCAACCAUUCUUGACCCAAAAAUGGGGCCCAUUUCCAGAAACCAAAGACUGAUUGGUUUUGCAGCCCCAGAAGCUCUCGCAGCUGAAAUGCCCACUGAAGCAGAAGAAUCCAUGGAAGUAGAAGAACCAAUCCCCAACCAAGAAAUUGAGAAAGUUGGAGUAACGGUGAAGCAAGUGGAGAAGCCAAGGUUGGUGUUGAAGUUCAUAUGGAUGGAGAAGAAUAUUGGGCUGGCUCUUGAUCAGGUAAUUCCUGGACAUGGUACUGUUCCCUUGAGUCCAUACUAUUUUUGGCCAAGAAAAGAUGCAUGGGAAGAGCUCAAGACCACUCUAGAGAGCAAGCCUUGGAUAUCCCAGAAGAAGAUGAUCAUACUUCUCAAUCAGGCCACUGAUAUCAUCAAUUUGUGGCAGCAAAGUGGUGGCAAUCUUACCACAUAAUGGAACAUGUGUUUUGGUUUUUUGCAGUUAAUUUGUGUGUUUAGGUGUUGAGGAAUCAACUAUCACAGUUCAAUUAUGUUUAAGGCUAUGGGUAUUUGCAUUUGCUGGUUUCUGUAACUGUGCCAUAUAUUUCAAUGAUACACGAAUUCUCGAUUGGCAUCAUCUCUGUUUUAAGAUUUGGAACUUGGUGUUUCUCCCCAAGUGGGAGCUCAACAAUGUGUGAAAUUAUUGGGGUCCAACUCUACAAGUCAUGUUUUCCCAUUAAGGUAUUUGCAGUUAGAACUCUGUUUCAUUGGGUACAGGGGAAGCCUCAGCUUGAACUGGGUUCAUGGCCUGAUCUUAAUUAAUAUGGAUGCUAAGAUUAGCAUGUUAUACUGUGAAUGGAUGCUAAAGUCCACUUAUAUCAGCUAUGUCUUGCUCUGAUUAUCAUUCUUGGAUUUACA
rnacentral:misc_RNA from 1 species